UACGUAGGGUCCGAGCGUUGUCCGGAUUUAUUGGGCGUAAAGAGCUCGUAGGCGGUUUCGUAAGUCGGAUGUGAAAUCUCAGGGCUCAACCCGGAAACUGCACCCGAUACUGCGAUGACUUGAGUCUGGUAGGGGAACACGGAAUUCCUGGUGUAGCGGUGAAAUGCGUAGAUAUCAGGAGGAAUACCGAUGGCGAAGGCAGGUCUCUGGGCUGACACUGACGCUCAUGCACGAAAGCGUGGGGAGCAAACAGG
rnacentral:rRNA from 1 species